UACGGAGGGUGCAAGCGUUAAUCGGAAUUACUGGGCGUAAAGCGCGCGUAGGCGGUUUGGUAAGUCGGAUGUGAAAGCCCCGGGCUUAACCUGGGAAUUGCAUUCGAUACUGCCUGACUGGAGUAUGGUAGAGGGAAGUGGAAUUUCCGGUGUAGCGGUGAAAUGCGUAGAUAUCGGAAGGAACACCAGUGGCGAAGGCGACUUCCUGGGCCAAUACUGACGCUGAGGCGCGAAAGCGUGGGGAGCAAACAGGAUUAGAAACCCCAGUAGUCC
rnacentral:rRNA from 1 species